AUGUAUCCUGACCCGGGAUUAAACCCGCAACCUCGGCAUAACUGGAUGAUGCUCUAACCAACUGAACUACCCAGCCAAGG